UACAGAGGGGGCAAGCGUUGUUCGGAUUUAUUGGGCGUAAAGAGCGUGUAGGCGGCCAGGUAGGUCUGCUGUGAAAACUCGAGGCUUAACCUCGAGAUGUCGGCGGAAACCAUCUGGCUAGAGUCCGGAAGAGGAGAGUGGAAUUCCUGGUGUAGCGGUGAAAUGCGCAGAUAUCAGGAAGAACACCCGUGGCGAAGGCGGCUCUCUGGGACGGUACUGACGCUGAGACGCGAAAGCGUGGGGAGCGAACAGG
rnacentral:rRNA from 1 species